CAUCUACUCCCUCCGUUCGGAAUUAUUUGUCGUGGAGGUGGAUGUAUCUAGACGUAUUUUAGUUCUAAAUACAUCUAUUUCUGAGACAAGUAAUUCCGAACGGUGGGAGUAGCAG
rfam:Triticum aestivum genome assembly, contig: Triticum_aestivum_CS42_TGACv1_scaffold_405664_5BL